rnacentral:rRNA from 1 species
UACGUAGGGGGCAAGCGUUGUCCGGAUUCAUUGGGCGUAAAGAGCGUGUAGGCGGCCAGGUAGGUCGGUUGUGAAAACUGGAGGCUCAACCUUCAGAGGUCGACCGAAACCAUCUGGCUAGAGUCCGGGAGAGGAGAGUGGAAUUCCUGGUGUAGCGGUGAAAUGCGCAGAUAUCAGGAAGAACACCGGUGGCGAAAGCGGCUCUCUGGAACGGUACUGACGCUGAGGCGCGAAAGCGUGGGGAGCGAACAGG